rnacentral:rRNA from 1 species
AAGCUCGUAGUUGAAUUUCGGGAUUAGUACGUCGGUCGUGCCUUAGGUACGUACUGGUGUUACUGGUUCCUACCUUCUGACGAACCAUCAUGUCAUUAAUUUGGUGUGGUGGGGAAUCAGGACUAUUACUUUGAAAAAAUUAGAGCGUUUAAAGCAGGCUCGCGCUUGAAUACAUUAGCAUGGAAUAAUGAAAUAGGACGUUGAUCCUAUUUUGUUGGUUUCUAGGAUUGACGUAAUGAUUAAUAGGGAUAGUUGGG